UCUUAGCAGAUUUGAUGUUGACACAUAUUGAAAGAUUAAAUUACUUCUAGAUACUAAAUUAUUUUUUGGACCCUUAUGCAUGAUAUUUCACUGAUUUUCCAUGAUUCUUUAUUUCCUUUUUACUUGCUUUUAUACAGAGGGACCAUCAGGUGUUUGAGUCUCUCAGUUUUACAUGAUGUGAAGCAGCAAGGUGCCAGUCUGUGGGGGCAUGGAGUGGACAGGAAUGUCCUUUGGGAUUGCUGGCAUUUGCAUCUGGAUUUCCAUUGGCCUUGUAACUGCAUCACACAGAGUACAGCCUCCACUUCCAGCAAAGCAAGAGAAGCUCUUUUGACAACGUGGGAAGAGGCAUUUUAUUGUGAAGCCAGAACUGUCAGCAGCAUCUAUUAUUUUUGGUGGGACCGUCAGUUCUCCAAGCAACACGACUUCAUUUUUAAUCCCUGUCUGAUGGAAGACACUUGAUCUGUCCUGCUUUUGUC
rnacentral:lncRNA from 12 species